UCAUCGAUUAAAAUGAACAUAUCAAGGAUUAACUCUCUGGGGAACAAAAUAGGGAUUACAACUACCUUUUUACUGGGUAGAAUACCACAAGAAUGAGAAUAUCCGUCACUGGUUAAAGUGAACAUAUCAAGGAUAGACUCAGGCAGGGGAAAGAAAGAUAUCAGUCACCGGUUAGGAUGAACAUAUCAAGGAUACACUUCCUGGGCAAUAAAUCCACUAGGGACUCUACUAAGGGAAAAAUAACGGUACUUUUG
rnacentral:lncRNA from 1 species